rnacentral:rRNA from 1 species
UACGUAGGGGGCGAGCGUUGUCCGGAGUUACUGGGCGUAAAGGGCGUGUAGGCGGCUUGUUAAGUCAGGUGUGAAAUUUCAGGGCUCAACUCUGAAACUGCGCUUGAAACUGGCAGGCUUGAGGACAGGAGAGGGAAGUGGAAUCCCCGGUGUAGCGGUGAAAUGCGUAGAUAUCGGGGGGAAUACCAGUGGCGAAGGCGGCUUCCUGGACUGUACCUGACGCUGAGGCGCGAAAGCUAGGGGAGCAAACAGGAUUAGAUACCCUGGUAGUCCUAGCUGUAAACGAUGAGUGCUAGGUGUGGGAGGUUGAAAUCCUUCCGUGCCGGAGUUAACACAAUAAGCACUCCGCCUGGGGAGUACGGCCGCAAGGCUAAA